GGCGGCGGCGGUGCCCGUGCCUGGUAGUUUGUUAUCGCCAGCUCUCUUCUCGUCUCUCUGCGGGCCCGGGGGCGAGGUGGAUGAGGGGCGGUUACUGCCGCCAGAGCGAGGCCCGUCGGCUGAGGUAAUGAGUACCUGAACCCUCUAAACAUUACUGAUCCUACAAAGGACGCCUAGUUUUUGUUCCACUCAGCUUCUUGAUUCAGCUUACUCUCUAGGUAUGUGAGUACCGAUGUUGGGCUAAUAGAGGAGGUGGGGCUCUGGCAGACUUGAUUUAGAGUUAUUUAAGCUGUUGUGAAGCCAUUUUCAUAAUUGCUCAUUUUCAGCCAGGUCAGUUCCCUGGUCCAGCUCACACUGAGGAACCUGGAACACUAGUUAAAAUAAAAGCUCCCUGCUACUGAAGUACAGCUGUAAUGGACAUGAACAAUAUGCUUCUUGCAUAUCAUAAGACAUACAUCUCCCCCUAUUUUUUUUUAACUGUAGACUAAUCAAUUCCACAUUGUUUCAGUCCUUGUGUGUCACAGUUGUAAACUUCUUAAGAUGCAUAUUUCUUAUUCCCGUGUUGUUUCAAAAUCAUUCACAUCUAUUUCGAACUGCAGCACCCAAGAGUGGAAACUACUACAAUUAAGGACUCGACAGCUCCAGCAUCUGCUGUCAUACCUGUUGCAGACUACAUUCCUGUUUACACAUGCCAAUACAAAUGCUUUUGAGUCAGUAUGAUCUAUUCAUGGUUUUGCUGUCCUGUUUUACCCUCGCAUCCAUUUCUGCUGACCUACCGUGCCAGUUAUUUCUCCCUCAAGUAGACAGAAAUGCUACUUGAGAUUUACUGCAACAGACCUAACACUAUCCUUUCAUUUUUUCUUGCUGGAAAUGGACAAUCAAGCAGUCAAGAUAUCUGUUAAAAUAAAAUUCCACAUGAUUUUACAUCAGAAAACUGUAGAAUUUGUCAUCCUUUGUAAUCAGUUGCAUUUCUCAGAAGAAUUGUAUUUAAAAUCCAAAACUUAACUAAGAUUGAAUGGUUCUACAGUUACAGAAUGGUUCUAUAAGUCAAAGUUAGAAGAGAUAUAUGUCCAUAUUUGUAAAUUCACUUAAACCAACUUAAACCAAACCACCUAAACAAUCUUAAGUGCAAGCAGGGGUUGAUAACCAUGAUUGGUAAGUGUUCAAGGCCAGGCUGGAUGAGGCUUUGAGCAACCUGGUCUAGUGGAAGGUGUACCUGCCUGUGGUGGCAGGAUUGGAACCAAAUGAGCUUUAAGGCCCCUUCUAAACCAAACCAUUCCAUGACUUCAUGAUUCUCUGAACAAAGAAUGUAGGUCAGCGGAUUUUGUACUAAUAUAAGGUAGCAUUUGGCAAAAAACAGUGUAACCUCUGGUUGCUCCUGUCAAUGAGGGACAGAACUUGCAGAUACUUAAUUUUGUUAGUUGUGUUCGUCAGUGACAUAUUUUAAUUCUCAGAGUUAUUCACUGCCCUGUGCACUGCUUCUGAUCGGGACUGAAUAGUGCAAUGAGCAGCUUGUAAAGUACUGAUGGUAUACUCUGCAAAUUGUAAGGUUUUGUAGGUGAAGUUGAGCAUGUCAUUUUACAUGGUCAUACUUUGGUCUUCACUGUAUGAAAUGAAAUCUGUCUUUUUAAACACUAAGAAUCGAAACCUGAAGCAUGUGUUGUGGGUGUUUAUUAAAAUAACUGCCACAGAAGGGAUAAAAAUGAAGCCUGUCCAGGUCCGCUAGCCUGUGUACACAGAGCUUUUCACUUCUUAUGAUGUCUUUCUAUAACAGCUAUGGAAUUAGUUCUUCAGUAUAGCUGAAUGAACUGGUAAUGCAUUCAGCUAGUUUAUUUCUUAAAUGAAAAACACAUCAUGUAGUAUGUUUUGUCCAUUUUGAUUGUGUAAACUAUUUGUAUGAUAUAUUCUGUAUCAGGUAAUCUUUGUAUGGUAACAAUUCAAGAAAAAUACAGGCUUUGUAAGUGAAUAAACAGCAAUUUUGCCUUUUUUUGUCACUUGGUCAGCAGA